AGUGAACGCUGGCGGUAGGCCUAACACAUGCAAGUCGAACGGCAGCACAGAGGAGCUUGCUCCUUGGGUGGCGAGUGGCGGACGGGUGAGGAAUACAUCGGAAUCUACUCUGUCGUGGGGGAUAACGUAGGGAAACUUACGCUAAUACCGCAUACGACCUACGGGUGAAAGCAGGGGAUCUUCGGACCUUGCGCGAUUGAAUGAGCCGAUGUCGGAUUAGCUAGUUGGCGGGGUAAAGGCCCACCAAGGCGACGAUCCGUAGCUGGUCUUAGAGGAUGAUCAGCCACACUGGAACUGAGAUACGGUCCAGACUCCUACGGGUGGCAGCAGUGGGGAAUAUUGGACAAUGGGCGCAAGACUGAUCCAGCCAUACCGCGUGGGUGAAGAAGGCCUUCGGGUUGUAAAGCCCUUUUGUUGGGAAAGAAAUCCAUCUGGUUAAUACCCGGGUGGGAUGACGGUACCCAAAGAAUAAGCACCGGCUAACUUCGUGCCAGCAGCCGCCGUAA
rnacentral:rRNA from 1 species